UAAAAUAUUUAAAUAGGAUGAAACUACCCAUUCAACACAGGUUGAUAUCCAUUAAAAUAUUUAAAUAGGACGAAACUGUACAUUCAACACAGGUUGAUAUCCAUUAAAAUAUUUAAAUAGGAUGAAACUAUACAUUCAACACAGGUUGAUAUCCAUUAAAAUAUUUAAAUAGGACGAAACUAUACAUUCAACACAGGUUGAUAUCCAUUAAAAUAUUUAAAUAGGAUGAAACUAUACAUUCAACACAGGUUGAUAUCCAUUAAAAUAUUUAAAUAGGACGAAACUAUACAUCAACA